UCCAUAUAACCAAGAAUAGGGUUAAAAUCCAUAACUCACAUAUGCUUUCAAUGUCUUUGAUGAGCCAUUAAAUACCAUUCUCAUUUUUACACUUGGUGACUUUUAAUUGAUUAUCCACUUAUCUUCGAGCAAACUUACGGCCUAGCUCUUCAACUUGGACAAUAAUACCCCUUUGAUAAUUAAUACAUCGGUUAUGAAAACAUUCAAGAGAAUCUUGGUUCCAUGCCAUGCUUCCAUUUUCACUUUUCACAUAUUCUUUCUUCAUUUUAUUUUCAAAUAAUGAUCGUUUUCUUUGAGAGAGCUUUUAAUAUAACUUGAAGCUUUUUCUCUCUCAGAUCUUCUUGGCACUUAGCAAGACACUUUGGGAACCCAAAAUUGCUUGAAAGAUGGAGAGUUGGUUUGGAACAACUUUUGAUCUUUUGAAAACAUCUUCUCACCAAAAUGAUUACUCCAGACAAUGUUAUCUUCAAAGAUUAUAUGAACCACUGGAGUCUUUGAACUUCUGGAAAAUGAGUUAAGAAACUUUAUCAUAUCAUUCAACCAGAACUGAGUUUGUUGAGUACUUUUCUUUUUCAGAUAUCUUCUUUCAUGAAAUUUUUCAUGAUACCUUUUCUAAGUUCUGUGUUUUUCUUGGCUUCAUGUUCAGGGGAUCUAUUCUUUGGAACCCAUAUUUGCUUAGGUAUAACAUCAUGAACUUUGGUGCAUGGAUCUUCAACAAUAUUUAGAGAACAAGAUUUAUCAGCAACAUCUUUCUCUUUCUCUGUUUCUAGGGAUUUUCAACCAUUUUUACUUGGGAUCUUCAUCUGAAGUUGGGGCAUCUUUAACAACUUCUUGUUUCUGUUGCAUUUUCAUUUGUUGUUCUUCUUUAUCUUUAACUAUCAAAUGAAUUACAUCCAAUUCAUGUACCAAAAGUGUAUCACUCUCUAUAGAAUUCCACUUUCUGAACAUGUCUUGUACA